ACUACUAAUCCUCUUUCCCUCCUGGGCACAAGCAUAUGUGUCAGUAACAAGACAGCAAGAACAAAAGCAGUGAGCAAGAGAAGCAGUUCAAAUGGGCUCACUUGCCUUCAUCUUCUGUUCUGCCAUCAGCUCUUCUUUUUCAUUGUGAUGGCGUGCCUGUUGAUACUGAGGAAGAUGGCCACAGGAUUUCUUUCCAUGAAGCCAAUGUAUACAUUAGCAGCCACCACUCUGGGUGUUGAUCCUUCAAGGUACCAUCAUAGAAUAUGUUUCAUGUCAAUACAGGCGAUGAAGUCAUGUUUCUCUCAAGCUAUAUACUCAUUGACUUUGGGAAGGAUCAGUUCCUGUAAGCUACAAUCAAUUAUUUGAUAAGAUCAACUUCAUAAUUGCUUUUUUCAAGCUUUCUCUUGCCACGUUCUGCUUCUUGAAUUGACAGGGGCAUUUAUGCAUGUUCUUGCUAUAUGAUGCCCAGUUUCCUAAAGCUUGCAUUCAUUAAGCGAGUUAGAAAGUUAUCAUCUCUUAAGAAAAUGGAGAUGUACAGUAGCCUUCAAACUGAGGGAUGAUUUCACUAUGAGGUUUUUCCCAGAACCUCUUUUUUUAUUCCCAAAACCUUUCAAUAUCCCAAAGCAAUCAUGAUCUGAUUUAUUCCCUACGAGGGUGCCUAAUGCUACUGCAACAAAUUACUUAAAAUUAAGGGAUGCUGGAGCAUAUGUUGAGGCUUUGGAAGGACACUACAAGACUGUUAACAAACAAAUGAAUUCAAUUCAUCGUAUGAUCCAGUGUAUGAUCUAGUGUUGAUCAAACUCUCUUUGUUUUUGUUUUCCGGGUGUUAUUAAACUUUAUUUGUUCAUUUAUAUUGCAGGCAUGUUGUAUUUUUCAAUUUAUGCCACAAUAUUUAUAUCUUUUUUAGUGA